AGAGUUUGAUCCUGGCUCAGGAUGAACGCUAGCGGGAGGCCUAACACAUGCAAGCCGAGCGGUAGAGUCUCUUCGGAGACUUGAGAGCGGCGCACGGGUGCGGAACACGUGUGCAACCUGCCUUUAUCUGGGGAUAGCCUUUCGAAAGGAAGAUUAAUACCCCAUAAUAUAUUAGAUGGCAUCAUUUGAUAUUGAAAACUCCGGUGGAUAGAGAUGGGCACGCGCAAGAUUAGAUAGUUGGUGAGGUAACGGCUCACCAAGUCUGCGAUCUUUAGGGGGCCUGAGAGGGUGAUCCCCCACACUGGUACUGAGACACGGACCAGACUCCUACGGGAGGCAGCAGUGAGGAAUAUUGGACAAUGGGUGAGAGCCUGAUCCAGCCAUCCCGCGUGAAGGACGACGGCCCUAUGGGUUGUAAACUUCUUUUGUAUAGGGAUAAACCUAGAUACGUGUAUCUAGCUGAAGGUACUAUACGAAUAAGCACCGGCUAACUCCGUGCCAGCAGCCGCGGUAAUACGGAGGGUGCAAGCGUUAUCCGGAUUUAUUGGGUUUAAAGGGUCCGUAGGCGGAUCUGUAAGUCAGUGGUGAAAUCUCACAGCUUAACUGUGAAACUGCCAUUGAUACUGCAGGUCUUGAGUGUUGUUGAAGUAGCUGGAAUAAGUAGUGUAGCGGUGAAAUGCAUAGAUAUUACUUAGAACACCAAUUGCGAAGGCAGGUUACUAAGCAACAACUGACGCUGAUGGACGAAAGCGUGGGGAGCGAACAGGAUUAGAUACCCUGGUAGUCCACGCCGUAAACGAUGCUAACUCGUUUUUGGGCUUUCGGGUUCAGAGACUAAGCGAAAGUGAUAAGUUAGCCACCUGGGGAGUACGUUCGCAAGAAUGAAACUCAAAGGAAUUGACGGGGGCCCGCACAAGCGGUGGAUUAUGUGGUUUAAUUCGAUGAUACGCGAGGAACCUUACCAAGGCUUAAAUGGGAAAUGACAGGUUUAGAAAUAGACUUUUCUUCGGACAUUUUUCAAGGUGCUGCAUGGUUGUCGUCAGCUCGUGCCGUGAGGUGUUAGGUUAAGUCCUGCAACGAGCGCAACCCCUGUCACUAGUUGCCAUCAUUAAGUUGGGGACUCUAGUGAGACUGCCUACGCAAGUAGAGAGGAAGGUGGGGAUGACGUCAAAUCAUCACGGCCCUUACGCCUUGGGCCACACACGUAAUACAAUGGCCAGUACAGAGGGCAGCUACACAGCGAUGUGAUGCAAAUCUCGAAAGCUGGUCUCAGUUCGGAUUGGAGUCUGCAACUCGACUCUAUGAAGCUGGAAUCGCUAGUAAUCGCGCAUCAGCCAUGGCGCGGUGAAUACGUUCCCGGGCCUUGUACACACCGCCCGUCAAGCCAUGGAAGUCUGGGGUACCUGAAGUCGGUGACCGUAAAAGGAGCUGCCUAGGGUAAAACAGGUAACUAGGGCUAAGUCGUAACAAGGUAGCCGUACCGGAAGGUGCGGCUGGAACAUCU
rnacentral:rRNA from 1 species